rnacentral:rRNA from 1 species
CCUACGGGAGGCAGCAGUGGGGAAUAUUGCACAAUGGGGGAAACCCUGAUGCAGCGACGCCGCGUGAGUGAAGAAGUAAUUCGUUAUGUAAAGCUCUAUCAGCAGGUAAGAAAAUGACGGUACCUGAGUAAGAAGCCCCGGCUAACUACGUGCCAGCAGCCGCGGUCAUACGUAGGGGGCAAGCGUUAUCCGGAUUUACUGGGUGUAAAGGGAGCGUAGACGGCAGUGCAAGUCUGGAGUGAAAGGCGGGGGCUCAACCCCCGGACUGCUGUGGAAACUGUACGGCUGGAGUGCAGGAGAGGUAAGUGGAAUUCCUAGUGUAGCGGUGAAAUGCGUAGAUAUUAGGAGGAACACCAGUGGCGAAGGCGGCUUACUGGACUGUAACUGACGUUGAGGCUCGAAAGCGUGGGGAGCAAACAGGAUUAGAUACCCUUGUAGUC